UACGUAGGGUGCAAGCGUUGUCCGGAAUUAUUGGGCGUAAAAGAGCUCGUAGGCGGUUUGUUGCGUCGGCUGUGAAAUCCCGAGGCUCAACCUCGGGUCUGCAGUCGAUACGAGCAAACUAGAGUGUUGCAGGGGAGACUGGAAUUCCUGGUGUAGCGGUGAAAUGCGCAGAUAUCAGGAGGGAACACCGGUGGGCGAAAGGCGGGUCUCUGGGCAAACAACUGACGCUGGAGGA
rnacentral:rRNA from 1 species